CUUAGCUCUCUUUAAGAAAUUCCACUUUCACACACACAUCAGAUUUUCUGCCACAAGAUGCUAUUGUAUGCAUCCUAAAAAUUGCUAUUUAAGAUACAAAACUUGAUAAUUCCUGGUAAGGUCAAUGAGAAUUGCUGAUGCUUAAUUUCUCAUAGAGAGGUACCAAAGCAAGGUAUUUUCUGUGUAGCUGAACCCCAUUAGUAUUACGGAGAUAAUGGCAUGUGCACUGGAAGGAAAACAGCCAGCUCAAAGAUGAGAGGAGACCACAUUUUUACGUAAUCAGCAGUUCAGCUAUUGAUUUUUUUUAAAGUAAGGCUUCAGCUGAAACCUUUCAGCAGGUGCUGUAACACAGAGCUUCGGGCAGAAGCUGAAUUUCAGGAAAUCAGAUGGAAUCUUAAUUCUACCUUAGAUUUCUGGCUGACCAUUUGUGGACUGCUAAGCACUGUUUCAAGUGACUUGAACCUGAAUUGCAGAUAGUGAACAGAUCACAAAUGGCAAAUGUCAUUUUUUUUAAACAACUCUGGCUGCUAUUUUAUCUGAAAAUCUUUUUUUUUUUUUUUUAAGAUUCCAGCUUCAUCUGGUUGGGUCAACUCAAAUGCAAUUAAAUUCAAGAGAGCUAAACUCCAUUUUUAGUGUUCACAUCAAUUAGUAGAUCAAGUUAAAGACAGGUAGACACAUCUAGGAGCUUAUUUUGAUCUGCAAACUCGUGUCAAGGUUGCAGACUGUCUGGACUCGAGUGUUACUUUGUUAUUUAACUUGACUUCGUAACUCAAAGUGAAAACUUAAGUCUCAUUCUUGCAAAUACAAGAGACUAUUGUUGCUGAUCUCCACCCUCUAGAGUCUGGUGAUAAAAAAAAAUCCAUCAGUUUGAAGAUUUGUACCCUGACACAAGGAUUUGUAUUCUGGCCAUCCAAUAGUCUUAGCCUAUCUGGUUCAUCCCAUUUGCAGAACCUACAAUUUUGUGGACUCUGAUGUGCUCUUUCUGAUAGACAGACACAGAAGGGGAACCCGGAGGUGCAGGCAUCUACUUAUUGCGCCGUAUGGAUGCAUUUUGAUAAUAACCACACGAGGGCAGAAAAGAACAGACAUCUGCGGACAGCCAGACGGCAGCCUGAUUUAAGAGAAGCGUCAAGUUCUGAUAUUUUUGUAAGGGAUUUGAAUGGAUAAAUAUAUUUAUCCAUUCAAACGCACACACAUCUGGAAUUGUUUAAAUAUAAAUAUAUCGAUAGAACACAUGUACACAGUGAAUAUAUAUUUAUAGUGUGCAUUUGUAAAUAUGUAUUUCUGGCAAGUAUGAGGAAAAUCGGUUUGGUUUUAAUUUUGGAUUGGCCUUAGUAAGGAUCUGAGAAUAACAGAGGCAUAAAAACAACUGAACCAUAUUUCCCUCUCAUUAACAUAAGCUGACAGUGCUUUCUUCAGUCUUUACCACUGUACAGGUAGGAGGCUGCGAUUAAGCAAGACAAGGAUCAAACUCUGAAAUGGGGAGACCCAUACAAUCAUAAGGGUUUCCAUGAUCAGGGACACCCCCAUUUUACGAGCUUCAGAUGUCCUGUACUGAGCAACUGGAAGAAGCGAGUUUUGGUCAUAUAAAGCACAAGUCAAAAAAAUGAACUUUGUUAUUACUAAUCUACACAGUUACACUGAAUAUAUGGUGCAUACCAGUGUUUAAAAUCUCCCAGCCUCACUAAAUCAAAGUGAUCUCAGAUAUGCAAUAUAUUUUUAUAGGCAGCCUUGUAAAAAUUAUUUGUCAUGCUUGUAUGUCUGGAAUGUGUCAACAACACUGCAGGCACUGAACCAGCUGAUAGUAAUUACUGGGGGGGGGGAGAAGAAAAGAAAAAGAAUUAGGAGCAAAAUUAACAACUGAAUUAUAUGAGGAAAAUUAAAAGAAGCUUAAUUGAGCAGAAGACUGAAAGCCACUUCCCCAGAAAUCCUAUCCCAGCUUGCCAUCUUAUUCCUUGUACAGUGCCAAAUAAACCUAACGUUUCUGUUUCUCGUUGUUUCGAGGAUUAAUUAGUGGCACAACAAUUGGGAAACAAAUAAAAUAACAGAAAAUGCCAAGCAUUGUUAUCGUGAGCUUGAAGGUCCCUGAUCUGAUGUGGGUGCACAAGUGAAUGGCCUCUGCAUUGCAAACUACGUAGAAGCAAUACUUUAAAGGUGGUUGAUUUCUGCUUACCAUUACAUACUUAAAAUGAGGAGAAAAUAAUUGUAAUUAAAGUUUAAAUUAUGUUAUGAUGAAAUUCAAGACACAACUUGUGCUGGUUAAGCACCUCCUACCUUCUAUUGCUCUGUGGGGCACACUUCAUAGCUCGUUACUGCAGGACAGCUGCAACACAAACAGCAAGAGCCCACCAGUGCUACAGAUGCUGCAGUACCUGUGAGUAACAACAGCUCUAUCACAACAAAUACUUAAUUACACAACUGAAGGAGAGAGAACAUGGUGCAAAUAUCAGCAACCUGAUGCUAAGCUGUGUUUUCUUUAGUGCUUAUUGCAAGCGAGAGUAACACAAUAUGUCGGUGCUCAUUGGGCUGAGGGUCUGAGCCUCCGGCCUGGAUGACACAUUGCAGUACAGCACCCAGUACCUCUCCUCAUCCCCUGGUUUAAGCAUGAUGGGGACCAACAUUUCACACAGUCUAAUAGUGACAGGAUACAUGAGAAUGGCUUUAAACUGAAAGAGGGGAAUCUUAAGUUACAUGUUCAGGAGUUUUUUACUCAGAGGGAGGUGAGGCCCUGGCAUAGGCUGUCCAGAGAAGCCACAGCUGCCCCAUCCCUGCAGGCAUUCAGAGGCCAGGCCAGAUGGAGUCCUGAGCAGCCUGGCCUGCUGGGGCAGCCCUGCCCACAGCAUGGAGUUGGGACUGGAUGGUCUUUAAGGUCCCUUCCAACCCAAGCCAUUGUGGGAUUCUGCAGGGAGAAAAGCAGCACUCCUGGCAUGCCCCAGUGACACCCAGAAUGGGGCACUGGGAUUGCAGGGGGUGCCCUCAGAUGUCUGCACACAGAACCUAGAUGUAGCCUGCACUACUCAAAGCAAUCCAGCAGUUUGCUUUUCCCUUUUUUUUUCUUUUUUCCUCCAUGGUUAGCUGCUCAGAAGAAAUACAGCUGAAGCAUGGUUUGUGCCAGCUUUGCUGGAGACAAGCAGCCCUGUGCAAGAGAAGCAUUUCUUUCUCACCCUCUUAUAUUCUGCACUCACUUAAGGAGCAAACAUACAUACAUCAGUAUUGGGAACUUGUGUCUCAAGUGUUGACUUCUUUCUGAGCUCCUGACCUCACCUGGAGAGGAGGGAGUUGAGGACCACAGCAGAACACUGAACCUGCCAGGACCCAAAUAGCCUUUAAGGGAAAGUAAGGGGAAACAACAAGAAGAGAUUUGAAGUGCCUGUGAUCAAUCACCACACAGCCACUGUCUAAGUUGAUCUCUCACAAACGCACUGAAGCUCUUAAUGACUGUAUUGAUAUAAACAUAGCUGCUUCAUUAUGAAAUAAUAAUAAUAAUAAAAAAUAAAUACUAAUUUUCAAAUUUUUUUUAAAAGAAUCUGGUUCUCUAAUCACCUGAGGGGAGAAAACUAC
rnacentral:lncRNA from 1 species